rnacentral:lncRNA from 9 species
UUUUUUUUUUUCUUAUUUAUUUUGCUUUUUAGGGCCACACCCACGGCAGAUGGAGGGGCCCUAGAAAUGACAAAAAGACAAAAAAAAAAAAAUUCCAAAAUGUCUAUCACUCAGCAAGCCCAACUGGGAUAAAAAAAAGAUACAUACUUGGGGGACUGGGGAAGCAUCACAACGGGUGGCUUCUGGCCUGGACUUUUAGAGCCAGGAAAGGCCUAAACAUGCACAGAACCGCUGGGGAAGCCCCCCCACCCCCACCCUUGCGGGCAGGCUCUUCCAUAUUCUGGUUACACUCUAUUUACUUCUAUAAAUUGGCAGCAGAGCAUUCCUGCUCUGACAUGGGUUGCUGUUCACUUACAAAUUGAAAUGGGAUAAAGAUAGCAAAUUGAACACACACUGUGGUCUCUCCUGAAACCAGCUAAAACAGCAGGAAAGGGAUUUAUCAAACUAUUGGAAAGCAGGCACAGCCAACAAAGAAUGGUAACUGCCUGGAUCCUAAAGAGGCAGUAAAGAAAAUUGAAGAGCAGCCCAGUUUUCACUGUGAAACCCCCAAAUGGUUUAGGAAUUGGCGGCCCCAGGUAUUUCUGGAAAUUGGGUGGCUGGGGAGGCUUAAAAACAGGAAAAUCGUUUGGAAAUCUGUUUAAGAACAAUCAGACUCCCAGACACCCUUCCCACCUGGUAGAAGUGAAAGGUCUAUUCUCAGGAUGGAGUAAGAGGGGCUGUCUAUACUGGGGGGGACUCUGACAACUGGAAUAAAGUAAACAUUUGUUAACGAACCCAACUAGUAUCCAUGGCGUCGCGGGUUUGAUCCCUGGCCUUGCUCAGUGGGUCCAGCCAUGAGCUGCAGUAUAGGUCGCAGACGCGGCUUGGAUCGCAUGCAUUGCUGUGGCUGUGGCGUAGACCGGCAGCUACAGCUCCGAUUAGACCCCUAGCCUGGGAACCUCCAUAUGCCGCGGGAGCAGCCCAAGAAAUGGCAAAAAAAAGGACAAACAAACAAACAAAGAGCUUCCAGAGAGAAGGAAAAAAAUAACAGUCUUUCUACAACAGCUUGAGCGUCAUAGCGACAUUGGAUUUUUCAAUAGCGAGAUGGGAACCAGGAGCCAAUGGAAGGUGCCUUCAAAAUUCUGAGGGAAGCUGUUUCCAUCCAGAAUCCUAUCCUAGCCAAGUGACUAUCAAAGAUGUGGAUGGAAUAAAGGUUUUUGGGUUUUUUUUGGUCUUUUCUUUUCCCUAGGGCUGCACCCAUGGCAUAUGGAGGUUCCCAGGCCAGGGGUCGAAUCAGAGCUGUAGCUGCCGGCCUACACCACAGCCACAGCCAAGCCACAGCCACGCAGGAUCUGAGCUGUGUCUGCAACCUACACCACAGCUCACGGCAAUGCCGGAUUCUUAACCCACUGAGCAAGUCAGGGAUCAAACCUGCGUCCUCACGGAUGCGAGUCAGGUUCUUACCACUGAGCCACCACAGGAACUCCCUAAAGACAUAUUGAGUCAUGUAAGUUCUCUGCAUACAUUCUCAGGAAGCUACUGGAGGAUGUGUUUCAACAGAAAUGAGUGAGUAAACCAUACAGAAGAGGUCAUGGCAUUGAAGGAAGAGAAGAGGCCACAAAGGAGGUGGGGGAGAAUCCCCAGGCCAGCGGUUGUGCAGUAGGAAGUAACUCAUCCUGACGGGAACAGGAUGGAAGACUCUAGAAGGGAUUCCUUCAAGAAGAUGAAAUCGGUCCAUUAUCCAACACAUUUAAACACACCGAGAGGAGAUUACAUAACUGUAAUUGUGACGCAGGAAAGAAGAAGUAAUCAUAGACUAUUACAUGGCUCACGUGUCAACAGCAUUUACACGGCCUAAUAAUGUAAACAGUGAAUAUGGUUCCAACCGAAACUGUGACAAUUAUACAGGAUGGCAGGGAACACAGACGGAGAUGUGCCUGUGGAGGGAGCAAGGAGAAAGUGUGGGUGUGUUGGAGAAAGGUAUUUAAAACAAAAAAAAAAAAAAAAAAAAAAAAAAA